GGACACCUGUGGUCCCAGCUACUUGGGAGGCUGAAGUGGGAGGAUCGAUUGAGCCCCGGAGUUGGAAGCUGCAGUGAGCUGUGAUCGAGCCGCUGCACUCCAGCAUGGGCGACAGAGCAAGACCUUGUCUCAAAAAAAAAAAAAGGAAACUGGGAAAUACUGGUGGGGCAGGAAUUCCCAAGGCCCUGGGCUUUCUCCCCCUUUCAUAGUGGCAGGGUAGGGGACAUAGAACUGAGCAAAAACCUGGAAGUGGCAGCUUUGAGAGCUGAGUGUUUUAAUGAGAAGUGGCAGGUGUCCAAGAUAUUACAUGAUCAUUCUCCACUCCCAACUCUGGCUAAACCAUCUUUGAAUCCAAGCAAGAUCUAUCCUCAUGGACAACUACUGCAGGUUUACUGUUUGUGUGCCAUGAGAACCUAUAGACAGAAGUGACAUAGCAUCAUUUUGAGAUGGUAGGGACAUAUGGAAAAGUGACCCUGUGGUAUUUGUGAAGUUUAUUGUUUGCACUCCCCCAACUUCCUUUUUUUUCUUUUUUCUUUUUUUUUUUUUUUUUUUUUAGACAGAGUCUCUCUCUAUCCCCCAGGCUGAAGCGCAGUGGCACAAUCUCAGCUGACUGCAACCUCCGCCUCCCGAGUUCAAGCGAUUCUUAUGCCUCAGCCUCCUGAGUAGCUGGGAUUACAGCUGCCUGCCACCACGCCUGGCUAAUUUUUGUAUUUUUAGUAGAGUUGGGGUUUUGCCAUUUUGGCCAGGCUGGUCUCGAACUCCUGACCUCGGGUGAUCCACCCGCCUCGGCCUCCCAAGUACUGGAAUUACAGGCGUGAGCCACCGCACCCGGCCCUCCCCCAACUUAUUUCAGAAUAUUUGAUGCUGUAUUUCCACCAGCCAGAGUUCCCUGAGAGCGGGGGCUACAUCUUGUACCGUAACUGUGAACGAGGCCUAGCAGAGCCUGGUAGAAGUUCCAUGUUUGGUUGAAGGAAUGAAUGUGGUGUGGAUGCCUCUCCUCUUAUCCACUCCUCUCCUCAAUCUGGUUGAUGGGCAGGUGGCGUCCAUUUGUCUGAAGAGGUAAAUGAUAGGAAGAAACUCUAGCCACCACCAUGCACACAGAUUUCCUGACUUCCAACUCAAGUUUCUUUCCUCUUCAUCACACAGGAUAUCUCCAAUUCAUUGCAACUGUUUCAGGAUACCAACUGUUGGGCAGAAGCACAAAUGGGAGCGGGUUGAACCCACUUUCACCUACUGAGCAUAUUCCAUACUGGUCAUCAGAAUGUUUAGAUAGUAUGUUAAUAUGUCAGUUGUUAAGCCUAUGAAGAAUAUAUGUUAAAAGAAGCAAUGUGGCCAGGCAAGCUGGCUCAUGCUUGUAAUCCCAGCGCUUUAAGAGGCUGAGGCAGGAGGAUCCCUUGAGGCCAGGAGUUCAAGACCAGCGUGGGCAACAGGCUUCAAAAAAGAAGAAAUGUAAAAGCAGAGAUGUGAACAAGAGAUAGAGUGCAUCUUUGUUGCUUGGGUGCUCCCCCUGUUGUCCAAUGGCAGAAGCUCCACGUCUUCCUCUGAGGGCUGAAUCUGGUUCUACUUGUGCCCAUUGGAUCCUCUUAUUGAUGAGGGUUACAAAGGCCGAGAUUGGCCUGCCAGAGAGACCCACAGCACCUCUUCAGACUUACUACCUUCUUUCCUUUCCUUCUUUUGACAAAUAUGUAUUGAGCACUCCUAGUCCAGGAAUUGUACCAAAUGCCCAGAAUAUAAAUGAACAAGACAUGGUCCUCAACCACCACCCUAGAGACAGGCAUAAAAAGAACUGACAGUAACAAGCCCCUAAUUUCAUGUAGUAAAUUAUAUCUAAUAAAGUGCCUUCGCUUUUCAUGGAAUCUUCGUAGCAACCAUCUGCAGAAGAGGUAUCAUUAUCCCUGAUGAGAAAUGGAGUCUCAAAGAGUUUAACUUAAAGUGGCUCUCUCUGGGCAAAAACUUCAAAGUUCUUUGGAAAUAAAAUGAGUAAUUCAGUCCCCUACCCUCUAAUUAGAUAGUUUGAUGGGUGUAAAGCUAGAUUAUGCUUGUCAGAACAUACACCAGGGUUUGUCUCUUAGUUACACUGGUCUGAACCCAGGAAUUUCAGGAUAGUGAGGAAUAUAACCAAGCAAAUUACACAGAAAAUGACUGUUCACUUACAGUUAGUUCUGCAUACUGAGAACUCGAGUUCUGAAUGGACUAAAGAUAAAGAAGAAAUACAAGUCUUUAGUUUCGAAUUAGAGAGGUCAUAACUCAGAAUCAAGAAUGCAAGAAUUGUCUUGCAGUAUUUUCUUUUCCCUUUAGCAAACUGCUGCCCAUGAUAUAAAACAGUUACAUCCACUGGAACAAAACAGGAACACUUCUUGUCCCAA
rnacentral:lncRNA from 1 species